CAGACAUUUUUUCAACAUUCUUUUAGAAAAACUUAGUCAUGUUGGUUGUGACUCAUCGUCCUAUGAGGCCUUUACACACGUCCACCCUCUUUGCCAUAUAGCUCAAUCCGCCCACACAUUUUUUUUUACCCCUCCCUAGCCCCGAACCGGCACACGCAAAGGUCUGAAAACAACAUUCCCGUGAUGCAAGAUUAGAGAAGUUCUCAGGGUUUUUUCUUUAUAUAUUGUAAACAAUAUCAGGUGAUAAAAAAGAGGAAGUACCCCAUGAGGAACUUUAAAGAUUUUCCCGCUGUGUCAUUCUGAUCUUUCAAAGCUGCACUCAGACAAUCAUUCAACAUGCCCGCGCUAGGACAACAACAUGUCAAAGUGAUGCCAGGAAUCUAACGCUGCAAUGGGACUUUUACAAAGGCAGUUUCAUGAAAUAAUUGAGAGGAGAGCUGAGUGCAAAGGGAAGCUUUUACGUCAACUGCCCCAUUUCGGAGACAGAAAUAGUCACAGAUUCAGGCAAGUCAUCAUGUUACAUAAUCACGGUCGCUCAUAAAUGAAUUAAAUAACGUUAAAAAAAAACAAAAAACAAGUUACACAAAAAAAAGCUUUAGUCUAACAAUGCUGUCUGAUAUAUCUUUUUCUGAGAUUUUUCUGGAAAUUCUCAACCAAAUCAUGGUACUUACCUGGUAAAUUACAGCAGAUACCUCAGCUGAUAAUGCAACAUACACACAAAAUCAUCUAUUGUUGUCAAGGUCGAUACUAAAAAUAAAGGCUUGACUUUCAAGUGUUGAAAAUGCUGUUCAUCUCAUAUUCUUGAGACAGUUUGUCCAUAACUGAUUAGCGCUGCUCGACUUUUACAACAAAA